GACGAACGCUGGCGGCGUGCUUAACACAUGCAAGUCGAACGGAAAGGCCCUGCUUUUGUGGGGUGCUCGAGUGGCGAACGGGUGAGUAACACGUGAGUAACCUGCCCUUGACUUUGGGAUAACUUCAGGAAACUGGGGCUAAUACCGGAUAGGAGCUCCUGCUGCAUGGUGGGGGUUGGAAAGUUUCGGCGGUUGGGGAUGGACUCGCGGCUUAUCAGCUUGUUGGUGGGGUAGUGGCUUACCAAGGCUUUGACGGGUAGCCGGCCUGAGAGGGUGACCGGCCACAUUGGUACUGAGGUACGGCCCAGACUCCUACGGGAGGCAGCAGCGGGGAAUAUUGCACAAUGGGCGGAAGCCUGAUGCAGCAACGCCGCGUGCGGGAUGACGGCCUUCGGGUUGUAAACCGCUUUCGCCUGUGACGAAGCGUGAGUGACGGUAAUGGGUAAAGAAGCACCGGCUAACUACGUG
rnacentral:rRNA from 1 species